CCAUCUUGUAAUGGUGGGGACUUUCCUGGCUGGAGGCGGUCCCCGACAAUACAUCUCAUGAAAGCAUAUAUAAUAUCAAGAAAUCUAAUAUGUCUGAAGAAAUAUGGAAGGAUGAGAAGGAUGGAGAGUGAAUAUAUGGUUGGAUCAUCUUGGAAAAUGUAUCAGACAAGAUUAUAAACCCCAUGCAAGGAGCAAAGAAUUUAUCUGUGUUGCUCAUCACUGUAUCCCAGUGCCUAUAAUCAGUAAUUGUCA